rnacentral:pre_miRNA from 21 species
UGAGUGGUACAAUACCUCAGUCUUUUCAGAUGUUCUAUAAAUUCACCUGGAAAUACUGAGGUUGAGUUUCGCUGAAC